rnacentral:rRNA from 1 species
UACAGAGGGUGCGAGCGUUAAUCGGAAUUACUGGGCGUAAAGCGUGCGUAGACGGUUACGUAAGUCGGAUGUGAAAUCCCCGGGCUCAACCUGGGAAUUGCAUUCGAGACUGCGCAGCUGGGGUGCGGAAGAGGGAAGCGGAAUUUCCGGUGUAGCGGUGAAAUGCGUAGAUAUCGGAAGGAACAUCAGUGGCGAAAGCGGCUUCCUGGUCCAGCACCGACGUUCAGGCACGAAAGCGUGGGGAGCGAACAGG